AGCAACUCCGGUUGAUCCUGCCGGACCCCACUGCUAUCGGGAUGGGACUAAGACAUGCUAGUCGCGCGUCUCCAGGCCAAGGUGGAGACGCGGCGCACAGCUCCGUAACACGUGGCUAACCUGCCCUUGGGACGGGGAUAACCCCGGGAAACUGGGGCUAAUCCCCGAUAGGUGAGGACUCCUGGAAUGGGUCCUCGCCGAAAGGGCGCCUAGACCAUGCCUCUAGGCGUCGCCCAAGGAUGGGGCCGCGGCCGAUCAGGUAGUUGGUGAGGUAACGGCUCACCAA
rnacentral:rRNA from 1 species